GAGAGAGCGCUGAGGUGACGAGAGACUGGGAACUGAGGUCUUCCGGUCUGAGGUGCUGAGGUCUCAGGAUCGAGGGAUGAAAGAGAAGAGAUCUUCACUGAGAGAAUGUAAUUCCUCCUGGACCGGAGCAUAAAGUACCCGAAACUAGAGAUCGGUUUCUCUGAAACUGGAGGAUCAAUCCCACACAACUCAUUAUCGCAUUGCAACCUGAGACUGGAAAUGCCUGGGGGCGGGAGGCGUUUCUCAGAGUAGAGCUCAGUCAUCCUGCAGAGCAGGGCACCAGUCCAAGGCUGCGGAAACAGCACAACAAUAACCGACUGCUUUCUGGUUAAGAAAAAACAUGAACCCAGUAGCAAGGCAGUACUAAAGGCU
rnacentral:lncRNA from 1 species